UGGCCGUAUUACACCCUGGGCUAUAACACCUCCACCGAAGUGGAGGCCACAUUCCCAGAGCCUUUAUCCGGCCGCCGAAACUGAUGCUGGCCUGUCCAAACUGAGUAAACCGGUCAGAAGACCGGCCGAACAGUUUAAACAAGUCUGAUUGCAAGCGCUUCCCUUUCAACAAUUUCACGUGCUUUUUAACUCUCUUUCCAAAGUGCUUUUCAUCUUUCGAUCACUCUACUUGUGCGCUAUCGGUCUCUCGCCAAUAUUUAGCUUUAGAAGAAAUUUACCUCCCAUUUAGAGCUGCAUUCCCAAACAACUCGACUCGUCGAAGGAGAUUUACAUAGGGUGCCAUUUCCUGUCACAUACGGGAUUCUCACCCUCUAUGACGUCCUGUUCCAAGGAACUUAGACAGGCGGCUUCCCCAAAUCAUCCUCUACAAAUUACAAUGCGAACCCGAAGGCUAGCUUUCAAAUUUGAGCUGUUGCCGCUUCACUCGCCGUUACUAGGGCAAUCCCUGU
rnacentral:rRNA from 1 species